UCUAGCAACCUUUCGGUUACUGAACCAACUCUCUAACCGCUAGGCUACCUUCCUCCCCUGGAAGAGGAUAAGGAGCCAUGCAAACAGGCUUGUUCAAAGACUGACAUUGAUGUCUCAACGACCUACACUGUGCACAGCCUUCUCUCAGUUAUUAAGCAAACUGAUCCAUACAUGCUUGACAUCGACCUUGAUUUUUCCUCUUGCAAGAAUCCCUUCAAGGAGAUGUCUACACAGGAAGAGUUGACAGAGUGUGUAAAGAGACAUAGCCUGCAGCUGGAGGAUCUGGAGACAGCAUUUGAAGACCUGGUGGAGGAUGAUAGUAAGGAGAUUGUCAGGUGCUGGCCUGCCAACCCUGGAUAGGGUGCACUAGGCGGGGCUGACCUGUGACUACUCGCGGGGCUGAACGGUGAGCUACCCCACCACAUUAGCAGUGAGGAGAAGAUUGAGAGGCUGGUCCUGGCAGUGGAGCUCAUUCUGGAGGCGCCGAUCCAGCCCACCCUUAUCACCGUCUCCAAGAAUGUCAGUGCCAGUUGUGUAACAAUAUGUACCUCUUAAGUUGUUUUUGGGGGUAUCUGUACUUUACUAUUUAUAUUUUCAACAAGUUUCAACAGUUUGUUCUAGCUCAAGAGACCAUGUGCUCUGCUAUUAUUAAGGGGGUAUGUGAGGGUAUUGUGGCUUUUGUGAAAGAAAAUGGCUAAAAGCAUAGGCCUACCCUUUGCUAGCUUAAGAUUAAAAUCAAAAUUAUGGACCUGAUUAUAUAAAGCGAUCUAUAACAACGCUUUAGUCCACAAUGUUUAUGCAAGUUUGCAAUCUGUAAAAUGCAGGAGAAAGAUGUGACUCUGGGAUGUCUCUGGGUUGACUCUAUGACAUUCAGAGGCUGCGCAACCUUCUAUAACCAAAGAGACAAAACAUUUACUUUGCUUGGGAGGUCAUGUGUGAUUCUGUCAAUAUCAAUUGACGUUAGACAUUUCAACAGGCUAUUUAACAACAUACUAACUCUACAUCAGUCAGAAACAAGCCAGGUAGCCUAAGAAGGAACGAAAAUUAAUUAUUUAGGCUAUAUUAUUAUUUCAAGGCUAUAGCCUGCCACUUAAGAAAUCAAUUGUGAAGCAUUGGUGACACGCUGGCAUGAGCGCUCAGCAACACAUCAACA